ACUAUCCUUGUCUUGGGGUUGGGCGGCUGUUCAAUGAUCGCUAAGUGAGCACAGCCCUGCUAACACCAAAACGACACAUACGCAUCACCUGGACUUCGGUUCAGGCUCGGGUGCAAUUUUUGGAAAC
ensembl:snRNA